rnacentral:pre_miRNA from 2 species
CACAAUGUUAUACUGGAGAGCAGGAAGAGCUGUGUUGGGUAUAAGUAAUAGACUUUUCCUUUUCUUCCAUGUGGCUCUUUGCA